rnacentral:misc_RNA from 1 species
GCUUGAACAGGCGGAGCAAUCUAUAAUUGAAGCUACCGGAACCGGAACUGUACCGGCGAUAGCAGUUUCUGUUAACGGUACUCUUAAGAUUCCGACGAGUUCCCCGGCGAGUAAUCCAGAAAUCGACGAGAACCAUCCACAGAAACGUAGAAGGAAAUCAUCAAACUCAGAGUUCAUUGAUGUCGGAAGUUUGAAUAGAAAUGCUGCAAAUGUUUCACAAUUUGCUCCGGUAACAACCACGCCGGCAACAAUAACCACCGCUCCACCGCCGGGAUUCGUACCGGUAUGGGGUAUGAGUAAUGGUGGUAUGAUGGUACCAUCCAAUGCCAUUUGGAUGAUACCAGCUACGGUCCCACCAGCUCAAGUAAACGUGACCAAUAACAAUAACGUCGUGCUCCAGUAUCCUCAAUUAUGGACACCUGUAUUUAAUUUGGCCACGAGGCCAAUACCAUCAUUCGUGACUGCAGCCACGAUUAAUACUAACGGUCCGCCAGCAAUAAUGAUUGCAGGACCGUUAUCAGUGAAUAAUGGAGCAGCCACAACCACGGGGCCUAAAAUUGGAUCGAACAAGUCUAGCAUGGCUCCAGCUAGUUUAAGCUCUAGCACAGAUAAAAAUAACAACAAUACAAAUGAUGUUAAACCUCAUAUGCUAAGAGAUUUUUCACUUGAGAUUUAUGAUAGAAAAGAGUUACAGCUUAUGAGUCGAAGUGGAAAUCAUCAACAAGAAACUCAAGUUACAUCUUCAGAACGUUCAUAGAUUCAAGUGAUCGUCAUAAUUUAUUGAGAAUCAAUAUAAAUAUAGAGGCAGAGUUUAGGCCAAAUAUGCUCAUGAUACUCUUGUAUGUACAAACU